CCCACGCGCGCCCCUCGGGCCCGCGCGCGCCCUUUGUCCGGGGGGGCCGUUCAUGCCGCCGCCCGCGCGCCGGGCCGCGCCGAGCAGGGCAGUCUCCAGGCCUGAGGUGCCCACCCUGGCCCCUGCGCCCACUGUCACCGUCAGAGAAUGAGCCAGCCGCAGAGGAUGGCGCCCGUGGGCACGGACAAGGAGCUCAGCGACCUCCUGGACUUCAGCAUGAUGUUCCCCCUGCCGGUGGCCAACGGGAAGGGCCGGCCCGCCUCCCUGACCGGCGCCCAGUUUGGAAGCUCAGGCCUCGAGGAGCGGCCCGGCUCGGGCUCCUGGGGCUCCAGCGACCAGAGCACGUCCUCCUUCGACCCCGGCCGGACCUACAGCGAGGGCGCCCCCUUCGGCGAGCCCCCUGGAGGCCUCUCUUCGUCCACAUUCCUGGGCCCUGGGCUCGGAGGCAAGAGCGGUGAGCGGAGUGCGUACACCGCCUUCGGGAGAGACGCGGGUGUUGGUGGCUUGACUCAGGCCGGCUUCCUGCCCGGCGAGCUGGCCCUCAGCAGCCCCGGGCCGCUGUCACCCUCGGGCAUCAAGGGCGCCUCCCAGUAUUACUCCUCCUACCCCGGGCACACUCGGCGGAGAGCCGCGGAUGGUGGCCUUGACUCGCAGCCCAAGAAAGUCCGAAAGGUGCCGCCAGGCCUCCCGUCCUCGGUGUACCCCCCCAGCUCAGGUGACGACUACGGCAGGGACGCCACCGCCUACCCGUCCGCCAAGACCCCCGGCAGCGCCUACCCUGCCCCCUUCUAUGUGGCAGAUGGCAGCCUGCACCCCUCGGCCGAGCUCUGGAGCGCCCCCGGCCAGGCCGGCUUCGGGCCCAUGCUGAGCGGCAGCUCGUCCCCCCUGCCCCUCCCGCCGGGCGGGGGCGGCUCUGUGGGCGGCACUGGCAGCGGCGGGUUUGGCGGCCUGCACCAGCACGAGCGCCUGGGCUACCAGCUGCACGGAGCGGAGGUGAAUGGCGGGCUCCCGGCUGUGUCCACCUUCUCCUCGGCCCCCACGGCUGCCUACGGCAGCGUUUCCAGCCACACACCCCCCGUCAGUGGGGCUGACAGCCUCAUGGGCUCCCGCGGGACCACGGCCAGCAGCUCCGGGGACGCCCUCGGGAAGGCGCUGGCCUCGAUCUACUCCCCGGAUCACUCAAGCAAUAACUUCUCAUCCAGCCCCUCGACCCCUGUGGGCUCCCCCCAGGGCCUGGCAGGGACGUCACAGUGGCCCCGAGCAGGAGCCCCCGGUGCCUUAUCGCCCAGCUACGAUGGGGGUCUCCACAGCCUGCAGAGCAAAAUGGAGGACCACCUGGACGAGGCCAUCCACGUGCUGCGUAGCCACGCUGUGGGCACGGCAGGCGACGUGCACGGGCUGCUGCCUGGCCAUGGGGCGCUGGCCCCGGGCUUCACCGGCCCCGUCAUGCCGCUGGGCGGGCGGCACGCCGGCCUGGUCGGAGGCGGCCCCUCAGAGGACGGCCCGGCGGGCAGCGGUAGCCUCCUGCACAGCCACGUGGCCCUCCCCGGCCAGCCGGGCGCCCUCCCCGACCUCUCCCGGCCGCCUGACUCCUACAGCGGGCUCGGGCGUACGGGUGCCACCUCGGCCGGUGACAUCAAGCGGGAAGCGAAGGAGGACGAGGAGAACGCGUCCGUCGCCGACCCCUCAGAGGAGGACAAGAAGGAGCUGAAGCCUCCCCGGACCCGGACCAGCCCGGACGAGGACGAGGACGACCUUCUCCCCCCAGAGCAGAAGGCUGAGCGGGAGAAGGAGCGCCGGGUGGCCAAUAAUGCGCGGGAGCGGCUGCGGGUCCGAGACAUCAAUGAGGCUUUUAAGGAGCUGGGGCGCAUGUGCCAGCUGCACCUCAACAGUGAGAAGCCCCAGACCAAACUGCUCAUCCUGCACCAGGCCGUGUCGGUCAUCCUGAACCUGGAGCAGCAGGUGCGAGCAGUACAGAGGAGGUGCUGUCCCUGGAGGAGAAAGACCUGAGGGACCGGGAGAGGCGCAUGGCCAAUAACGCGCGGGAGCGGGUGCGCGUGCGGGACAUUAACGAGGCCUUCCGGGAGCUGGGGCGCAUGUGCCAGCUGCACCUCAAGUCGGACAAGGCGCAGACCAAACUGCUGAUCCUGCAGCAGGCCGUGCAGGUCAUCCUGGGCCUGGAGCAGCAGGUGCGAGAGCGUAACCUGAACCCCAAAGCCGCCUGCCUGAAGCGACGGGAAGAGGAGAAGGUGUCGGGCGUGGUGGGAGACCCCCAGAUGGUCCUGUCGGCCGCCCACCCAGGCCUGAGCGAGGCCCACAACCCCGCCGGGCACAUGUGACAGGGACGCCGCCGAGGGACGAGUGCCCGACCUCGGUGCAGCCCGGGGCGCUCCCGCCGGGCGCCGGUCUCCAUCCUCGGCGGGGGCCGGCCGGUGCGCUCCUCGCGCGCAUGCGCAGCGUCGCGCCGACACCCACCCGGGAGGCUACGAGCACGGGGACCCCGGCGGGGACGCGGGUCCCGGAGACUGUGUCCCGGCCCCGCCACCCAGGACGGGCCGCGAGGAGCGUUUGUUUGUCUUUUUUUUUUUGGAAACGAAGUCGGACAACAAGCAAGGAAUACACACGUUAUCAGAAAAGAAAAUGCCUUAAGUAUGGAUGGGGAGGAGCCGGAGCGUGUCACUCGCCCGAGGGAGAUGCGUGCAGACCUGGCUUGCUCUGAAGCCACCAGCAAAUUGUGCCUACGCCUGAUAUUUUUUUUAAGGAAAAUAAAAAGAACAUUAGUUAUAAGAUUUUUUUUUUUAUUAACGUAGAAGAAAAUUAGCAAGGAGGAUGCCUUUGGUCUCUCGGUUUUUUGUUUUUGUUUUUGUUUUUUUAGCUUUUUUUGCAUAUGUUUUGUAAGCAAAUAAUUUUUUUGUAUAAAAGUCUCGUCUCUUGCUGUUUCUGCUGCUGUUUCUAGAACUGGGCGUUGCAUUUCAUGAUCAACCAGAUUAUUAAAAGUUGUAUUAAAAGA